rnacentral:rRNA from 1 species
CCUUGGGGCAGGCCUACACAUGCAAGUCGAGCGGAUGAGAGGAGCUUGCUCCUGGAUUCAGCGGCGGACGGGUGAGUAAUGCCUAGGAAUCUGCCUGGUAGUGGGGGACAACGUUUCGAAAGGAACGCUAAUACCGCAUACGUCCUACGGGAGAAAGCAGGGGACCUUCGGGCCUUGCGCUAUCAGAUGAGCCUAGGUCGGAUUAGCUAGUUGGUGAGGUAAUGGCUCACCAAGGCGACGAUCCGUAACUGGUCUGAGAGGAUGAUCAGUCACACUGGAACUGAGACACGGUCCAGACUCCUACGGGAGGCAGCAGUGGGGAAUAUUGGACAAUGGGCGAAAGCCUGAUCCAGCCAUGCCGCGUGUGUGAAGAAGGUCUUCGGAUUGUAAAGCACUUUAAGUUGGGAGGAAGGGUUGUAGAUUAAUACUCUGCAAUUUUGACGUUACCGACAGAAUAAGCACCGGCUAACUCUGUGCCAGCAGCCGCGGUAAUACAGAGGGUGCAAGCGUUAAUCGGAAUUACUGGGCGUAAAGCGCGCGUAGGUGGUUUGUUAAGUUGGAUGUGAAAUCCCCGGGCUCAACCUGGGAACUGCAUCCAAAACUGGCAAGCUAGAGUAUGGUAGAGGGUGGUGGAAUUUCCUGUGUAGCGGUGAAAUGCGUAGAUAUAGGAAGGAACACCAGUGGCGAAGGCGACCACCUGGACUGAUACUGACACUGAGGUGCGAAAGCGUGGGGAGCAAACAGGAUUAGAUACCCUGGUAGUCCACGCCGUAAACGAUGUCAACUAGCCGUUGGGAGCC